AAAAAAAAAAAAAAAAAAAAAAAAAGUUUUUGUAUUUCCCUAGCAAGAUAAUGUCAGGUUCUUAGGCUCUGUACUUGACCGUGAUAACUCCAUGAGAAAACAGCAGAACGCCAGCUUUGCAGGUGCAUCUGCAGCACUACUGGGCUGGGAACAGGACCAGUGCUUGCACCAGCACUUGAGGGUUCCACAUGAGGGAUUCACAUUGCAGCACUACCUGUGGAAGUCAGGCCCUGGAGCACCUGAACUGAAAUGCUGCAAGGUGACUCAAAAUGGAGACUGAGCCAGGCAUGCCACACUUGGGAGGCUGGGGUGAGAGAAUUACUGCACUGAGAACCUUGGGGCCAGCCUGGGAAACAGCAAGACCCUGUCUCUUAAAAAAAAAAAAAAAAGAAACGGUGAUUGACUCAAAUUAUAAUGACGCAUUAAAAAUGUACAAAUAGUUCUUAUAUGGAGAUCUCAAAACCCUACAAUCUCAUUUACAUUUAUGUCACUUCUGAAAAAUAUACAGGUUUACAGUCCCUUAUCUGAAAUCCUCAGGGUCUGGACAGCAUGUUGCAUCAAAAACGUUAAGAUCUAUGCAGAUUAAUACUGAGUGGCUUAAUUAAAGAAGGCCCUUGGGGAAAAGAUGACAAUGCUAACAAGAAUGGUAGUAAAAGCUACCGCGUGCCAGUGCACGCUGGGUGCCAGACACUAUUGAGCCUGUCUGUGCACAAACUCAUUUCUCACAGCCACCCCAUGAAGUGGAUACUGGCAGCCCCAUUCUACAGAUGAAGCUGCCGAGGCUUGGAGGGACUCAGGAACUUGGCUGAGGCAUUCAGAACUGGGACUGUCAUGACAAAGGUUCCACUGUUCUCCAUGUGCUCCUUGGGGUCUAGGCGUUAUGGCAUGGAGGAGACUAGUCACCCACUUCUUGCUAACUGAAAUCCAGUUGGUUAGCAAAUGUUCAUGGACCUUGGUAGAUGCAAGGUCCUCCCUCAAAGCCAAGGUGUCAGGGUAGCUCCAUUCUUUUUGUUUUUGAGACAGGGUCUCACUCUGUUGCCCAGGCUGGAGUACAGUGGCGUGAUCAUGGCUCAUUGCAGCCUCGGGAGGAUCAAGCUAUCCUCCCGACACAGGCUCCUGAGUUCUUGCCAAUACUGGGUGUAGAAAUGGGCACCUUGGCCUGUGAAAAGUGACUUCUCCUUUUCCUGCCUCUCAACACUUGCUUCAAAAUGUGCCAGUGAGGUGUGAGACGGCAGAGAAAGCUGGGCCCGGACAUCUGAGCCAUGAAUGAGCUUCCUCCAGCUGUCCUGUCCCUUUUCUUCUGUUGGAUGGGAUGAUGAGGCUCUUUAUUGUUUAAGAGAAAUUCACGUAGUCCUUUUGUUAGUUGCAAGCAAAGCAUCCUGACAAAUAAAAUCACUGAGAAUUCCCCAAUUGAAAUCCAGAUGUGGCAGGGAUAGGUAUGAGGUUAACUCAUUAUUGGACAUUUAUACCCAGAGGUAGUGAGUUUAUCAGAGAACAGGCUGUCACUUUGGAAAGCAGAGACUGAGGCAGGUGCAUAGGGGCUGCAGUAGAGUAAAGACAUAGUCUACCAUGCAGGUUGUGUUAACCUGCUCCCCACUCCCAACUUGGGAAAGGUGUUAAACAAGGAGAGAACGCCCUAAGUGGUGUGUCCUUUGCAUACACAAUGCACCUGAUGUGCCCAGACUAUGUUCUAGCAAUGUUAUUGUGACAAAACAGGUUGUUGCCAUCAGUUCGUCUCAGGUUCCUUCUAGCACAUCUGACAGUGACUAGUGUCUAGAGCCAUGAGGACAGGGACCAGAAGAGACAAAAAGGAGUGGGCAGAGGGAGGGGAAGGCAGAGUUAGGCCCAGAGAGCCCCAGGCUGCUACCUCAGAUCUCCACGCCAGUGCCAGAUAUAUUGGCUUCUCACAGCAGUCUUGCAAAGUUGUUCUCAGUUUUCAAAUAAGGAAACUGAGGCCCAGGGAGUGGUGAAGUGCCUGCAGGGGAUCUAACCAGCUGUCGGCUCAGUGCCUCCUACAAAGUGGAGUAGGGGCACAUUUCAGAGAAAACUGGCUUAGGCUUCUCUGUUUUUGGUGUGGCCUUCCCUACGAGCAGGUUAGGGGCAUGAAAGCUCACCCCCUCCUGAAUGGGUUCACUCCUGGGGAUUGCCGCAGCUCCCCAAAUGACAUGCAUGCACACUAAACACCCAGCAGUUCGGGAGGCACUGAUCGAGUGAAGUCCUCCAAUCAACCUUGUGAGCUUUCUCCAAGCACCUGUCACUGUUAAACUGCUGAUGAAACGUGAAAUGACUUCACAGGUUUUCAAUUUGAUAAGCUCUCCUCUGUCACUGUCUCUUACCCUGUUAGUGUUGGUGAAUGGUUCUCAGAUAUCAGGGCACAUUCCCUGGGGGCUCAUAAAACCAGACUGCUGGCCCCUUCAAGCUUCUGGUUCUCUGUGCCUUGGUAAUGCAGAUGGCCCAGUGAGCAACUCUACAAACAUUUGAACAUUUUGAGGUAGAGAAGGGAACUUCAUCAUCCCUUGUAGGCCCCCAGAAAACAAGACCCAACAUCCAGUGCAUGCCUUUUAGCCUCAGCUGUGUGACC